rnacentral:rRNA from 1 species
UAGGGAAUCUUCCACAAUGGACGAAAGUCUGAUGGAGCAACGCCGCGUGAGUGAAGAAGGGUUUCGGCUCGUAAAGCUCUGUUGGUAGUGAAGAAAGAUAGAGGUAGUAACUGGCCUUUAUUUGACGGUAAUUACUUAGAAAGUCACGGCUAACUACGUGCCAGCAGCCGCGGUAAUACGUAGGUGGCAAGCGUUGUCCGGAUUUAUUGGGCGUAAAGCGAGUGCAGGCGGUUCAAUAAGUCUGAUGUGAAAGCCUUCGGCUCAACCGGAGAAUUGCAUCAGAAACUGUUGAACUUGAGUGCAGAAGAGGAGAGUGGAACUCCAUGUGUAGCGGUGGAAUGCGUAGAUAUAUGGAAGAACACCAGUGGCGAAGGCGGCUCUCUGGUCUGCAACUGACGCUGAGGCUCGAAAGCAUGGGGUAGCGAACAGGAUUAGAUACC